rnacentral:rRNA from 1 species
AUUGAACGCUGGCGGAAUGCUUUACACAUGCAAGUCGAACGGCAGCACGGACUUCGGUCUGGUGGCGAGUGGCGAACGGGUGAGUAAUGUAUCGGAACGUGCCCAGUCGUGGGGGAUAACGUAGUGAAAAUUACGCUAAUACCGCAUACGAUCUAUGGAUGAAAGCGGGGGAUCGCAAGACCUCGCGCGAUUGGAGCGGCCGAUAUCAGAUUAGGUAGGUGGUGGGGUAAAGGCCCACCAAGCCAACGAUCUGUAUCUGGUCUGAGAGGACGACCAGCCACACUGGAACUGAGACACGGUCCAGGCUCCUACGGGAGGCAGCAGUGGGGAAUUUUGGACAAUGGGCGAAAGCCUGAUCCAGCCAUUCCGCGUGCAGGAUGAAGGCCCUCGGGUUGUAAACUGCUUUUGUACAGAACGAAAAGGUUUCUACUAAUACUAGGAGCUCAUGACGGUACUGUAAGAAUAAGCACCGGCUAACUACGUGCCAGCCGCCGCCGUAA